CCCAAAUCUCUCUCCUCUGGCUACUUCGAAACUUCUCUUUCCUCUCACUAUACAAAAUGAAGCUCAUAUCUCCUCUCGAUGCUCUCUUCUGAAGUUUCUCUCUCCUUCACAAGGCAUUGGCAGAUCUCGCACAGAAGGGUUCCCCCUGUCACGUUUGCAGUUUCACGUUGGGUAAGUCAAAAAGCUGAAAUGGAUCCUACGAAUUCAGUCUGUGUGGCAUCUACAACAUACCCAAAUGUAGGCAUCAUUUAUGAAAUCCUUGAUGGUGGUUGUGGCUCACCAAACAAAAGUCAAGAAAUAGAAGAACCAUGUGUAAGAAUGAUGUAUGGAUCAGAGGAUGAUGCAUAUGAGUUCUUUAAGUCUUAUGUAUUUACCAAAGGUUUUAGUAUUCGCAGAGGGACUACUCAUACCAAGAAACGUAAACGGAUCUAUAGGGUUUAUGUUUGCUCCAAGGAAGGGUUUAAACAAGAAAAACCUAAUAAAAGUAGAAAAGUUUACCCUGAGUUAAGGUGUGGGUGCAAGGUUAGGAUGUGCAUAAGUAGUCAAGAAAACAGUAAGUGGAACGUGACUAACGUCGUUAUAGAUCAUAAUCAUGAUCUAGUUAGUCCAAGAAAAGCUUCUUUAAUUUUCACUCAUCGAUCAUUAUCGAGUGCUACAAAGUCAUUGAUACAUUCAAUGAGCUCGGCAAUGGUUAAGCCUAGAUAUAUUCAUGACAUAUUCAUAGAGCAGGCUAGAGGGAUCGACAAUGUCUCGUGUACACAAAAGGACAUUAAAAAUGAAAUAGCAAGUGCUAGAAGAAAACUUAGAGGAGAAGAUAGCAAUUUAAUUUUACAAUGGCUCGAUAAAGAGAAGCAAUCGAACCCAUCUUUAUUCUAUAGAUUGAGAUUAGAUGAUGAAGAUCACAUUUGCAGUAUCUUAUGGGUAAAUUCUACAUCUAGAGUUUCCUACCAGUGCUUUUUUGAUGUGGUUACCUUUGAUACCACAUACAAGAUAAAUGUGUUUGGUAUGCCUUUUGCACCUAUACUUGGUGUAAAUCACCAUUUCAAUACAACUUUCUAUGGAUUUGCAGUCAUAUUUGACGAGAAGAUAAAAUCAUUUAUAUGGGUAUUUGAAAACUGGUUGGAAGCCAUGGGUGGAUAACAACCAAGUGUUAUUCUCACUGAUCACAUAUGCAGAGAGCCAAGUUCUUCACCAAAGUAAGCAUCAUUAUUGUAAGUGGCACAUAUUUGCAAAGAUCAAAGAGAAAAUGUGUCAUGUCUUGCGCAUAUAUCCGUCUUAUUUAUAUACCUUUAGGAGGUGUGUGACUAGCCCAACAAUUGAAGAAUUUGAAUCGGGUUGGAAAUAAAUGAUUGAUAAUUAUAACCUGAAAGACAAUGAAUGGCUCAGUAGGUUUUAUGGUUGUCGCAUGCAAUGGGUUAAUGCAUACUUAGCUGGCACAUUCACUGCGGGUUUGACUUCUACUCAAAGGAGUGAAGGGGAAUACAUACUUUAAGCCGUACUUGACACCCACAACAAGCUUGCGCUUGCAACAGUCAAAGAUAAGAAGGUGCAAAAAGAGAGGGAAAAUGACUUAAAAGAUAUUCAAACUACUCCAGUCUUGUGAACAACCACGUGCAUUGAGACACAUGCGUCCAAAAUCUAUAAUCAAAAGAUUUUAAAGAUAUUUGGGGAAGCAAUGACUAAUUUCUUUAAUUUUACGAGGGAGACAGUUGAAGACAAUGGUCAGGUUGCAAGCUUUAAGGUGGCAAUCCUGGGGACUGGAACUAAAUCCUACUUAGUGAAAUUCAAUUGCCAUGACAAUUCUGUUUCUUGCUCUUGGAACUUCUUUGAGAGAAUUGGCCUUCUUUCUAGGCAUGUACUGAAGAUUUUUAUGGUGAAAGAUGUGUUUGAAAUCCCUCUACAAUAUAUAAUGGAGCGUUAGACCAAGGAUGCAAAGAAGGGAGUUUUCCUUGAUGACAUUGGGGAAAAAAUUCAAGUAACAUCUGAACUACCACGCUCUAUUAGAUAUAAUGAGAUUAUGCAAGCAAGUCGAUCAUUUGCCGAGCGUACUUCACAAAGUGUAGAGGGCAAUGAGUUUACAAUUACCAUAAUAAAAAAUGGAAUUCGUCAAUUUGAUGAAAAGAGCGUGUGCAAGAGAGGUCCACAAGAUAAUGCCAUGAUCCAUGUAAAUAAAGAUGUCAAUUGUGGUAGUUGUAGUAACACACCAAGUGGAAGUAAUUAUUGCCGUAAUGCCCUUGAACUUGUACGAGCAUGGACAAAGGGAUGACCAGCCACUAAAAGAAUUAAAGCUCGGUCUGAGGGAUGAGAGCACAAAAAAAGGAAAUGCGCAGUUUGCAAUGGUAGUGGACGUGACAAAAGGAACUACCUUUCGUACGUUUGUUAUAGUGCUAAGGACAAAACACGUCGUGCACUUCGGAUCCAUAAGAUGGCAGCAGAAAUCGAUAAGAUAUGAAUUCCUUGAAGUGCUAAGGACAAAACACGUCGUGCACUUCGGAUCAAUAAGAUGGCAGCAGAAAUCGAGAAGAUAUGAAUUCGUUGAAGAUUUUGUGCCGCAGAAAGUGAAAGUUGUAAAUGCUAACCCAUUAGUGGAAACAUGAGGCAAUUGUGUUUUCUGCACCUUUAAGUAGAUUGACAUAACUCAAUUUAAGAAUUGUAGCAUCUUUUCGUGGCUGUGUACAUUGAAGUCCCGAAAUUGUGUAAAUUGGCCUGGAGGCUAAUUUUUUUCUUUUUAGAGGCAGUUUAUGGUUGUUAAUUUGGGGCUGAACCUGUUGGUUUCAAGUUUUUUUUUUUUCCUCUUCUUUACCAUGGGUAUGUUGAAUGCAUAUGCCAAGAUUUUAAUUGCUUCUCUCUCAAUAUCCAAUGUGUUGAAUGCUGAAGCUUUUUCUUGUAGCAUGUAUAUACUUAUUUUUCAUAUAUGGAUUGGGAUGAAUUCCAGAAUGUGUAUGGCUUUUUUUGUAGCAUAUAUGUACUUCUAUCUCUAUAUGCAAUGGUUGAAUGCUGAAGCUUUUUCUUGUAUCAUGUAUAUACUUAUUUUUCAUAUAUGGAUGGGGAUGAAUUCCAGAAUAAAUGUGGCUUUUUUUGUAGCAUGUAUGUACUUCUAUCUCUAUAUGCAAUGGUUUUCUGCUCUUUAGUUUUACUUGAGAUAGAGAAAGACUCGUUUAUGACUCUUAUAUUGUAGAGACCCAUUUUUCUUAGUAUUCUCUAGAGAGAGAAACCCCAUUGCUCUUCAUUUGUUUUAGUUUACAGCUUGUGAUAAUGUAUGGUUUGAAGUUGAGCUCAGAGAAAACCAUAUCAAGAAUUUUUUUUUUUUUGUGUUUUGAAGACAAUGGAUAUUUGAGGUUUACUGAUUUGAGAUGUGAUAUUCACUGGUUUGGCGUAUUUCUCUUACUAUUGAUAAUAUUUUCCAUUUACAAACCCAAUUGGGUUUCCUUUGAAACCAUUUUUGGAGUAGUAUGAUUGGGAUGUAUCUCACUCUAUAAAUGGAUUUGAAUAUGUUUAUAUUUCCUUUUUUUUUUUUUUCAA